AUGAGAUAUAGAGACAGCGAGAGCUGUGAAAGAAGUGCGAGGGGUCCUCUUAAACAAGCUCUGAGGGACUCUAGCCUGUCUGCUGCAGGUACCAUUAAUAAUCAGAGAGAGGAAAACAAUCUGAGAGAGAGGAAACGAGACAUGGAGGAAAAUCAAAGCCACCUAUCUGACAAGUGCAUUCGAGAGGUGAGAAUCCUUUUUCAGCAGUCUCAGCGUACGGCGUCAGAAGCGCCAUCGCCGAUUAAUUACAAUCUCCGUGCCAGACAUGUGUUAGAGUGGAGAGAGAAAAAUAAUUACCUCCACACACGCUUCUCAUCGGAUACGAAGAUACAGAUAUAGUUUCUCCUCAGUGGAAGAAAACUAAUGUCACUAACAUUUUUUUAUUGCAGUAAAAAGGUCUCUGAACUGCAGAAAUUAGAAUAAAAAAAAUUUGACAUUGUGCUACUUUUACUGAACAUAUUUUUUUUUUAAUCAUUUAAGGAGAUGGCCAUAUUCAUCACACAAACAAAAUACAUUUCUGUGUAACUUAAUGUCUUACUGUAUGUAAACUAAAGCACUGAACUUAAUGUGAUAAUUUAUGUAUAAAUUGAUUUAUAAAUGAUAUGUACAAUUCAACCUCCUCAUGUCUGAUGAAUAAAUCCCAAUGUAUUUACAUGUUUGAUGUUAAAAGACUUUCUCCUAUACCAGUUUAAGUGAGCCAUUCAAAAUUUGGCUUAACAACAGUCAGUUGGACCACAUUAUGAAGUGACCAAAUAAUGAAAUGUCAGAAGACAUGGUUUUAGUUUUCAAAAUGAUGAACAAAAAACCAAGGGGUCAAGUUUUGGCUGGUUAGCAUGACCUUGUUUCCCCUGCUGGUCGAUAUCACACACACACGCAUACACAAACACAAACACACACACACACACACACACACACACACACACACACACACACACACACAAUCUACACAGAGAAAAAACAAAAACAAAUAAAACCCUCUUCAUAAGGUGUGUAUACAGUAUAGAGAGAGCUAAUAAUAUUGACAGCUUGCUCGCGUUCAGAAGCGAUUCUCAGAUUUCACAGUAUUCAGUAAGUAGCAAUUUUUGCUGUUGCAUUUGGUAACAUUGGUGUAAAAAUUACGCUUCACUUUGAAAGGUUGAUAUUACAGUGAAAAUGUAACUUUAAAUUUCUGAAUCACUAACUUGACAUGAUGACAUAAGUAGCAAGCUAUGAUUUUUUUGCAAUUGCAUUUGGCAACAUUGGCUGUGCAGAAAUUACACUUCACUUUUAAAGGCUGUUAUUACAGUGGAAAUAUUACUCAAAAUCUCUGAAUUGCUAACUUGACAUGGUAAACCCCAAAUUGCUUCUAAUCAGAUGAGUUCAUGAAGUUAAUCCUCCCAAGAACAGAUCAAUUUUCCCAGACUUUGUUAUGUUGUGAAAGACAUGAAUUUGAAACUGGAGAUCUGCCAUUAGCGGUCUCCAGCGGCUAGACUGCCGUCCCAGAGAGAUGAGGAAACUUCAGCAUGGAAUCUGACAUCAGUUCGUGUGGGACAGGGUGAUGUCAGCGCGACACACAGCUGAGCUCACACCAGGGUGAAAGAGAGGCUCCCAUCUGCAGAGAUUUUCCCUGCGUCCUCAGUGAUGUGUGUUAGAAAAUCUGUGAGGGGCCGAUUCUUUAAUACAUGCGGCCUGCCUUUCUGAUCUAAUGCCUGUUCUUCUGUUUGAAGCACAUGUGUCAUAGCACCAGCAUGGGCCUGUGCGGGUCACAGCAGGGCUUUAGGACUAAGGCUUGCUUGUGUGUGACCGUGUGUGUAAAGGUUACAGCGCAAGUCCUCUCUUUCUCUCAGCCACACGGUCCUGUAUAGCACGGAGAGUGUCGCUAAAUGUCAGUUCGUCCAUAUGGCCCCCUGGACGGCAGAUGCCACUUCAUAAACCGGCCAAUCAUGCUGUGGCAUGGGCAGGGUCUCCUGGGCCUCUGUUGUCAUGGUAGCAAGCCGGUUACACCCACACACACAUGCCACCCGCAGCAAGCCCUCACUACAGGGCCGACCGCUGGACACCUGCUCAGGAGAGAGAGGUUCAGAGCACAUCUGCUCCUGUGGGCACCUCAGACCUGAAGCCGCAGUCCUGUACAGCUCUGAUUAAUGAAGCAGAGCAAAGGUGAGAGGCCCCAAACAACAGGGGCACCGCAGCACACACACUCACUGCACCAGCUGCGUGAUUUAUCCGAACAGAAUGUGAAUAUUGUGUUAUUAUACUGCCUUUUUAUGUAAAAUAUAACAAUUGAAUUUUUUGUAUACCGGUUUAGUCAUUUUACAUGCAUAGAUAUUUAAAACAAGACAAUAAAAAAUAUUCAUGCUAAAUAUGUUUUGGUUUAUUGUACAUAAUUUCAAAGAAAAAGUAAUUUCUAAUUUAAAAUAAUAUAAAACGACUUUUCAUCAAGCCCUCUUAUAUUUUAAACCCUCCCCUCCAACCACCUGUCAUAUCUGCAACCAGUUAAAUCUCAACAGAUUUUUUUCUUGUUUGAUAUCCUGUAUCACUUGAAAAUAUGUCAUAUUACAGAAGGAACAUGAGUUGAAAUAAAAAUGUUAUUGACUUGGAACAUAACUACAGUACUUUGAAAAUGACAUAAUUAGAGUUUCUGUUAUUUUUAUUAUUUCAUAAAUUCAUUAAUUCAAAAUGUAUUUAAUAAAUUUUGAUGUUAAAAUAUUCAGUAUCAUUAUAAUUAUUCAAUAUUCUAAAUAAUACACAAUAAAACUAUCUAUCUAUCUAUCUAUCUAUCUAUCUAUCUAUCUAAACAUUCUCUGAAACAUUGUUUUAUAAUCAUUGUGAUGAAAUUUACUGUCUGAAUAUGCAUACAAUGAAAUGUUUGUAACCACACUUCUGCUAAAUAGUUACGUGUGUGUGUGUGUGUGUGUGUGUGUGUGUGUGUGUGUGUGUGUGUGUGUGUGUGUGUGUGUGUGUGUGUGUGUGUGUGUGUGUGUGUGUGUGUGUGUGUGUGUGUGCGUUCAUGUCAGGGGAAGUGACCUUGCAUUAACCCUUUAGUAAGGGGUCACAGGUCAGCUGGGGGAGAUUGAAGAACACUUCCACCUCCAGGCUGUGCAGGGGAACGUUUAGAGCGCACGGCAGUGUUAUGUUAAAAUGGGUGUGUGGGAAGAGGUCAGCUGGUCAAAACUAUCAGAACAAGCAGUUCAGGCAAUGAAAACCUACAAAAUAAAAUCACCUCCCUUUCCUGUAUUAUAACAGCCUCAGAUUUCACAUAAUAUCCAAUCUCUCUCUUUUUUAACAACCCAGCCAUUCAUCAAUGCCACUUUCAGUUUAUCCACAAUAAAAAUGUAUGAAUAUAUAUAGAAAAAAAGGGUUGUAGGCUGUGGUGUUUUUGCUGACACACACAAGAAUACACUUCAGCGAACAUGUCAGAACAACAGUCUUAGAAGGGUUAUGGAGCAGCAUUUAUUUACUUUUUCGUUAUUAUUGCACAGUUUCUGAUUGGAGGUCAAUUAGAUUUUUUUUCUUAAUUAUCACCUUUUCUACUUAAAUGAAACCAUAUAUAUAUUCCAACUUUUCAUGCAACUAUUAUAGGCAUAAAAAUAGUGUCAAUAAUUUUCAGUAACUAUAUAAUUAAUUAAUUAUUGCAGUUUCUGAUUGCAGGUCAAUUAGUA
rnacentral:lncRNA from 1 species